CCUACGGGUGGCAGCAAUGAGGGAUAUUGGUCAAUGGAGGAAACUCUGAACCAGCAACGCAGCGUGAGGGAAGACGGUUUUCGGAUUGUAAACCUCUGUCCACUGUGAAGAUAAUGACGGUAGCAGAGGAGGAAGCUCCGUCUAACUACGUGCCAGCAGCCGCGGUAAUACGUAGGGAGCAAGCGUUGUCCGGAUGUACUGGGUGUAAAGGGUGCGUAGGCGGCCCUGAAAGUCAGAAGUGAAAUCCAUGGGCUUAACCCGUGAACUGCAUUUGAAACUGUAGGGCUUGAGUGAAGUAGAGGUAGGCGGAAUGCGCGGUGUAGCGGUGAAAUGCGUAGAGAUCGGGAGGAACACCAGUGGCGAAGGCGGCCUGCUGGGCUUUAACUGACGCUGAAGCACGAAAGCGUGGGUAGCAAACAGGAUUAGAUACCCUUGUAGUC
rnacentral:rRNA from 1 species